GGGCCCGCACAAGCGGUGGAGCAUGUGGUUUAAUUCGAUGAUACGCGAGGAACCUUACCAGGGCUUAAAUGUAGUGGGACAGGUCUAGAGAUAGACCCUUCUUCGGACUCAUUACAAGGUGCUGCAUGGUUGUCGUCAGCUCGUGCCGUGAGGUGUCAGGUUAAGUCCUAUAACGAGCGCAACCCCUAUCGUUAGUUGCCAGCGGGUAAUGCCGGGAACUCUAGCGAAACUGCCGGUGACAAACCGGAGGAAGGUGAGGAUGAUGUCAAGUCAGUAUGUCCCUUAUGUCCAGGGCUACACACGUGUUACAAUGGAUGGUACAAUGGGCUGCUAAGCCGUAAGGUGGAGCCAAUCCCCAAAACCAUCCCAGUUCGGAUUGGAGUCUGCAACUCGACUCCAUG
rnacentral:rRNA from 1 species